AUUCAAGAUUAUACUUGUGUUAUGUGUAAUAUGCAGGUCACUGAAGCACGAGAUCAUCUUUUCCUGCACUGUCCUUUUGCGCAACUAUGCUGGAAGUAUAUUUGUCCAGGCUGGUCUCCCACGCACCUUGGCAUCCAAGAGAUAAAUGCAUUGAAGCAAUUACUCAAUGUUCCGUUCUCUCUUGAGAUCAUCAUUCUUAUUUCCUGGGCGAUCUGGACAACGAGGAAUGAUUUCAUUUUCAAGAGGAUCCCACCAAGUGUGUAUCAUUGCAUGAGAAAAUUUAAAGAAGAACUCAAGUGGUUCAUCUACAGAGCGAAAAGACAGGAAUACAGCGGCUUUCAUGAUUGGGUGAAAGAUUUUCGCUAA
rnacentral:rRNA from 1 species